rnacentral:rRNA from 1 species
CCUACGGGAGGCAGCAGUGGGGAAUCUUGCGCAAUGGGCGAAAGCCUGACGCAGCAACGCCGCGUGCGGGAAGAAGGCUUUCGGGCUGUAAACCGCUUUCAGCAGGAACGAAAAUGACGGUACCUGCAGAAGAAGGAGCGGCCAACUAUGUGCCAGCAGCCGCGGUGAUACAUAGGCUUCAAGCGUUGUCCGGAUUUAUUGGGCGUAAAGAGUUCGUAGGCGGUCAAGUAAGUCGGGUGUGAAAAUUCUGGGCUCAACCCAGAGACGCCACCCGAUACUGCUUAACUUGAGUUCGAUAGGGGAGUGGGGAAUUCCUAGUGUAGCGGUGAAAUGCGCAGAUAUUAAGAGGAACACCGGUGGCGAAGGCGCCACUCUGGAUCGAUACUGACGCUGAGGAACGAAAGCAUGGGUAGCAAACAGGAUUAGAUACCCUGGUAGUCCAUGCCGUAAACGGUGGGCACUAGGUGUGGGUUUCUAUUAACGAAAUCCGCGCCGUCGCUAACGCAUUAAGUGCCCCGCCUGGGGAGUACGGUCGCAAGACUAAAACUCAAAGGAAUUGACGG